rnacentral:tRNA from 1 species
GACCCCGUAGCUCAGCAGGAUAGAGCAUCAGAUUCCUAAUCUGAGGGUCACGCGUUCGAAUCGCGUCGGGGUCA